AUACGGAGGGUGCAAGCGUUAUCCGGAAUCAUUGGGUUUAUAGGGUCCGUAGGCGGACUAAUAAGUCAGGGGUGAAAUCCCACAGCUUAACUGUGGAACUGCCUUUGAUACUGUUAGUCUUGAGUUAUAUGGAAGUAGAUAGAAUGUGUAGUGUAGCGGUGAAAUGCUUAGAGAUUACACAGAAUACCGAUUGCGAAGGCAGUCUACUACAUAUAUACUGACGCUAAUGGACGAAAGCGUGGGGAGCGAACAGGAUUAGAUACCCUAGUAGUCC
rnacentral:rRNA from 1 species